AGAGGGGUGCGAGCGUUAAUCGGAAUUACUGGGCGUAAAGGGCGCGUAGGUGGUUGAAUAAGUUGGGGUGUGAAAGCCCCCGGGGCUUAACCUGGGAUGGUCAUCCAAAACUGGUUUAACUAGAGUAUGGUAGAGGGAAGUGGAAUUUCCGGUGUAGCGGUGAAAUGCGUAGAUAUCGGAAGGAACAUCAGUGGCGAAGGCGACUUCCUGGACCAAUACUGACACUGAGGCGCGAAAGCGUGGGUAGCAAACAGGAUUAGAUACCCUGGUAGUCCACGCUGUAAACGAUGAGAACUAGCCGUUGGGAUCCUACGAGGUCUUAGUGGCGCAGCAAACGCGAUAAGUUCUCCGCCUGGGGAGUACGGCCGCAAGGCUA
rnacentral:rRNA from 1 species